AUCUUGAGCUUUAUUCUGAAAGGCUUAUGUGGAAAAUAAACAAGCGGACACGCGAUGGUUUUACAUCGUUGUUGACAACGCAUAAAAAUAGGCGCUUGUCAGGUCGUGUGGUUAUAUUAAAUAUAAGCGAAAGAGAGAACUUUCAAGAAAUGAAUAUAGCCACUACAGUGACCAUCAAGACCAUUAAAUUUGGAUAAUAAAACUCGAGGUGGAAACCAGGAGGCAGCCGGAAGAAUACAUCCGAGGACAGGACACAUCAAGGUGCGGCAUGAGGAGAGAUACAACGGGAGAAAGAUGGUGCAGAGAUAAUCGUGGACCAAAGAACCUGUACGCCGUGUCCCGUACGCCAGAAAGCUGCUCUACCAGGAGCUGCAGUCCGUGAACAUCAUCCCUCGACUCGAGCUGUCGCGCUACAGCGAGUGAGCAGGACAAGGACAGAGAUGUGUUGGGUGGAGACGAGGUUGUGCUCAGUGUGCUGAGGUGAAGCAUCCAAACCACACGGCCUGUUCUUCAAUCCGGGAUCGUGUCCCAAAUCAGAGCUGCGGAAGGGUAAGCGUCACAGUGAGUGUGCUGCAGCUGAUGUUGACCUGAAGAAUCGUGUCUCGCAGGUACAGUCUGCAGUCUAUGAAGUGGGGCUCCUGCUGCUCAGGUGUUCUCACUGAAGUCCGUUUCACCUGAUGAGAGGAGGCAGCUCUGACUUGAGGCUGUUCAAGAAUGAGCGCCACUUAAUCUGGUUCCACCUCUACCACAGGCAGAGAAACACAGGCCUGGACUCUUGGCCAGACAAAAUCAGAAACGGAAAUCAUUGGUUUUCACAACUGGGUCCAGUUCUACCUGCAAAGGAUAUAAGGCCAGGGAGCAUGAUUUGUGUUUGAAAACUUUAUCGUCAUCGCCGGCAUGCUUUGUACCUCAGGCUCAUCAGAGACAAUCGUAUCCAGCAUUUUAUCAAACUGUUGUCUGCUACAGAGUUAAAAGUAUUGUACUAGUAGUAAUAUAGCAUCCACCAUCUCCUGCUUGCAUAUUUCUGAAAACAUCUUAGUGGUGUGGCAGCCAUGGGUUGAGCCAGCCCUGCAAACCCUGUGGAUGAACGAUGCAGUGGACAGUGGGAGG